rnacentral:rRNA from 1 species
GAUGAACGCUGGCGGCGUGCCUAAUACAUGCAAGUCGAGCGAACGGACGAGAAGCUUGCUUCUCUGAUGUUAGCGGCGGACGGGUGAGUAACACAUGGAUAACCUACCUAUAAGACUGGGAUAACUUCGGGAAACCGGAGCUAAUACCGGAUAAUAUUUUGAACCUCAUGGUUCAACAGUGAAAGACGGUCUUUCUGUCACUUAUUGAUGGAUCCGCGCUGCAUUAGCUAGUUUUUAAUGUAACGGCUUACCAAGGCAACGAUGCCUAGCCCACCUUGUAAGGUUAUCCGCCACACGUGAACUGAUACACCGUCCAGAAUCCCACGGGAGGGCGCAGUAGGGAAUCUUCCACAAUGGGCGAAAGCCUGACGGGGCAACGCCGCGUGAGUGAUGAAGGUCUUCGGAUCGUAAAACUCUGUUAUUAGGGAAGAACAUAUGUGUAAGUAACUGUGCACCUCUUGACGGUACCUAAUCAGAAAGCCACGGCUAACUACGUG